GAUGAACGCUGGCGGCGUGCCUAACACAUGCAAGUCGAACGGAGCUGCUUUGAUGAAGUUUUCGGAUGGAUUUAAAACAGCUUAGUGGCGGACGGGUGAGUAACGCGUGGGUAACCCUGCCUCACACUGGGGGAUAACAGUUAGAAAUAGCUGCUAAUACCGCAUAAGCGCACGGUUCCGCAUGGAACAGUGUGAAAAACUCCGGUGGUGUGAGAUGGACCCGCGUCUGAUUAGCCAGUUGGCGGGGUAACGGCCCACCAAAGCGACGAUCAGUAGCCGGCCUGAGAGGGUGAACGGCCACAUUGGGACUGAGACACGGCCCAAACUCCUACGGGAGGCAGCAGUGGGGAAUAUUGCACAAUGGGGGAAACCCUGAUGCAGCGACGCCGCGUGAGUGAAGAAGUAUUUCGGUAUGUAAAGCUCUGUCAGCAGGGAAGAUAAUGACGGUA
rnacentral:rRNA from 1 species